AUUAUGAAACAUUAUCCUGAAAGGAAAUAUAUACGUGUGUUUUAAAAAUCUAGCAAAAGCAGAGUAAAUACAGUGUUUCUCAAGUUCUUUGUGCAAACGUCUGUGUCUGCGGUGUUCAAGCAGAUGAUAAUGGGGAUAAGACAUAUUCAACAAAUUCAAGCAAAGAGAACAAGCACUGGUAUUCAUGCUUACUGAGUAAGACAGACGAUACAUGUUAACACGGACCGAAUGAACUGACAGAACUUAUACGAUGUUACACGGUUUAUAUUUUUUGAUCGAACAUUAACAAUCAAAUUUAUUGUACCAAUGCAUUGGAAAAUAUGUUAGAGACAACGAGACGAAACUUUUAGACGAAAUUGGGUUGUUAUUACAUCUAAAGCAAGUUAUUAAACAGAUUUUAAAAAUCGGUACCAGUAUUGUCAAGGACCCGAAAUCAAAAUGAUUAUAAAAACCACGAAUUCUGUUAAGUUUAUGUUAAGCCUUUACAAGGAAACGCCAUUUUAUAGCUAUUGAAAAGUUUAUAUAGGACUUCAUUAGGUGUAAUGUUUUUAUCUUUAUACUUUGGUAAAUUGGUUCCAAACUGUUAUGUUUAUACCAUGUGUAAUGAGUUUAAGAAUAACAGUAAAUAAGUACGAUAUCAGUAAAAAGAAUGUACGGUAUGAAUUGAAAAUAAAGGAAAUCAGUUGAAUAUGUAAACUACAAGUGAAUCUGUAGAAU
rnacentral:misc_RNA from 1 species